AACUCCCAACCCCUGUGACAUACCACUUGUUGCCUCGGCGGAUCAGCCCGCUCCCGGUAAAACGGGACGGCCCGCCAGAGGACCCCUAAACUCUGUUUCUAUAUGUAACUUCUGAGUAAAACCAUAAAUAAAUCAAAACUUUCAACAACGGAUCUCUUGGUUCUGGCAUCGAUGAAGAACGCAGCAAAAUGCGAUAAGUAAUGUGAAUUGCAGAAUUCAGUGAAUCAUCGAAUCUUUGAACGCACAUUGCGCCCGCCAGUAUUCUGGCGGGCAUGCCUGUUCGAGCGUCAUUUCAACCCUCAAGCACAGCUUGGUGUUGGGACUCGCGUUAAUUCGCGUUCCCCAAAUUGAUUGGCGGUCACGUCGAGCUUCCAUAGCGUAGUAGUAAAACCCUCGUUACUGGUAAUCGUCGCGGCCACGCCGUUAAACCCCAACUUCUGAAUGUUGACCUCGGAUCAGGUAGGAAUACCCGCUGAACUUAAGCAUAUCAAUAAGCGGGGGAAAAGAAA
rnacentral:rRNA from 1 species